AGUAGAUCUCCCUUUACAUCCCAAGAUUCUCUCUUCGUUCAUUUACAUCUACGCCUCUCUCCCCAAACAAUCUCCUGUAUCUCUAUCUCUCUCGAUCUAUCAGAGAUCUCUUCUUUUAUUUAAUCCGUGCUAUGAAACCAUUAAUCCAAUUUCUUCUCUCGGCAAGAUGAAUCGGGAAGAUCAAAAGAAACCCAAUGUUUCGGCAGAAAUCCAAAACUCUACUUCAAAAUCAAAAACCAUGUAUCAGAAAUCAAUGGAAAACAUUGUAACCCAAGAUCUACUUGCUUUUCUCCUGAAAUCAUCCAGUAAGGUGUUCCCUUUUUUAUUUUUCCCUUCAACAGAACUCCUCAAUCGGGUAGUAGAUCUCUUCUCCUCCUAAUGUCAUCUGCAAGUUCAUAAAGAAGGGUUUAACCGCAUCAUGAUUGGUAUUAGUUUCAUGAUUCUCAUGGAUCUCAUGAGAAUAUUUACCAAGUUGCAAAGAAGGGUUUAACCCACCGGGAAUUUUGUCAAUAAACUACUGAGCAAAGAAAUGGGCAAGAGUCGGGAGUGGAUUUUUUAUGGUGGAGGAAUGGGUAAUUGCAAAUGGCUAAUGGUACUCUAGUUUGACGUGAAUGGGUAUCAUUUGGAUUUAGGAAAAUAGGCAACCUGGGUGAGAUCUUCCCUCCCAAAUUCCUGCUCAAGUUUAGCCCUGAAGAUGUUCUUCGGCAGGUAACAUAACUGUCUUGAAAAUUUGCUAGUAUUAAUAUGCAUAUACAGUAAUUUCUUCUUGCACAGUAUGUUUAUUAUGGGAAAUUAUUGAUAAUUUCUUGCACAUGUCCUGUAUUGAAAUUUCAAGCAUCAAGUAUUAUUGGUUAUACAAGUAUUUCCUGAUGGCUAUCUGUAUCUACUAGUUAGAUCCCUUUGGUAGUUAUUAUGGAGUGAUUGGUCUCCACAUAAAGUUAAUGGGCAUUGUUCUUAAACUUCAGUGAUUUCUAACUAAACAUAUUUCAUCUUUUCACGAUUUUAAGUUCUAGUAAUUUUUUAAGUCGUGACCGUUUAUAAAUUACUUCUAAAGUUGAAAUUUUUUUGUUGACUUAUUUUAUUCGGUCCUGCAAUAGAUCGUAUACACUAAACUACUUGUGGUACAAAAGUUUCGUUACUUGAAAAAAGAAAACCCUAACUUUCAAAAAUUGAAGAUGACAUGAGAAAAUUUCAUUUCUCUUCUCUUCCAAGAGGAGAGUCCGUAUAGAAAAUAUUUUUGGCAACUGGUUCUUUUAUCUUAAUUAAUAUUAGUUUUUUUUAUAUGGAAAGCAGGUAGUCUUUCGUUUUUACAUAUUUACUCUUGUUUGAUCAGAGAUGAAUUCAAAGUAAUCUCAUAUUAGUAACUAAGGAUAUCAUUGCCAAUGUCUGUAUUUCAACCUUUUUUUUUCCUUUUUUAGAGAAAGAAUAUUUAAUACUUUGAGUCUUAAAUCAUCAGUGUUUGCAAUAGGUUUUGAAUCAUCAAUUUUUUUUGAUAUCUCUACAUGUACAACACAACUAUUAUGGUUACUGGAGACAUCGAGCAGUUUCUAACCAAGGGAUCUUUAAGUGGAAGCUGAGACUACAAAGAGAUUGGGUUACUGAAUUUCGAUCUCCCGGUAGGUUCCAGCGGAAUCAUACAGUUUGGAUAUGAAUCUGACUAUGAAAUGAUAUAUAAUAACAAGAUGCACUUGGGUGUUUGUUUUAUUCUUGUCCUAACAAUUUCAAAUAUGUCGUCGAGGUAAUCUUUGUUGUCGAUGCCCUUGAAAGGUACACCCAGCUUUCCAUCCAUCCCGUUCACAACAUUAACAAACCUGGCAUUUUGUUCGUUGGUAUACAUCCAUCCAAGGAUGGCUCUCUUGCUCGUUGCACUCUCAUUCACCACUGACUUCUGAAGUGUAAUAAAGGAUUGGUUAUUGUUAUCAGGAAAGGCUUGAUACUUGCUGAGAUAAUAAACUAUUUGGCAUUAAUCUAGCUAACUCUUUGUUAAUCUUCACCGGAUAUAUGACUUACUUUGUGCUUUCAGUGAUCUUAAAAUGCAAUAGCAAGCUCAUUGACCUAUCAGUUUGUGACUUAAAACCAAGUGCAACAACUUCAUAUUUCAAGUGUUGCAGAUUCUUCUUCUUCAAAGACACCACCUGACAAGGACCGGACUAUGGAGAAGCAUUCUAGUUAUGUGAAUCGUCAAUCAUGUUUCCUUGGUAAUUUUCUAGAGUGAUUUGCUUUUUUAGAUUUAUGUAUGUUUCGUAAAUUAUUUUCAGAUUUAGAACUGACUGUAGUUUGUUAUUGUAAAAUGAAAUCCACGUGUUUAGUGAAUUUUUCACAGAUUUGGAACUUGAGUGAUUGUAGUUUGUUGGGGGUUGUACAAUGAAUUUUAAUUCAAUUUCAGUUUCUUAUUUUGUUUCAA